rnacentral:misc_RNA from 1 species
UGGCUCUCGCAUCGAUGAAGAACGCAGCGAAAUGCGAUAAGUAAUGUGAAUUGCAGAAUUCAGUGAAUCAUCGAAUCUUUGAACGCACCUUGCGCUCCUUGGUAUUCCGAGGAGCAUGCCUGUUUGAGUGUCUUGAAAUCAUCAAUCCCCCGGAUUCGCGUCCGGAGGCUUGGACUUGGGGGUCUUUGCUGCGUUUCGGCGCGGCUCCCCUUAAAUGCAUCGGUUGUGGCCCGUUCGGCUUCAGUCCUCGGCGUUGUAUUCACCUCGCCCCGCGUCUCGUCGGCAGUGCCCUUCCCCGACCGCCUCUGGAGCGGCGGUCAACACAUAUUUGAAAUCUGACCUCAAAUCAGGUAGGACUACCCGCUGA